rnacentral:rRNA from 1 species
UGGGGAAUAUUGCACAAUGGGCGAAAGCCUGAUGCAGCCAUGCCGCGUGUAUGAAGAAGGCCUUCGGGUUGUAAAGUACUUUCAGUUGUGAGGAAGGUUGUGUAGUUAAUAGCUGCAUAAUUUGACGUUAGCAACAGAAGAAGCACCGGCUAACUCCGUGCCAGCAGCCGCGGUAAUACGGAGGGUGCGAGCGUUAAUCGGAAUUACUGGGCGUAAAGCGCAUGCAGGUGGUUUGUUAAGUCAGAUGUGAAAGCCCGGGGCUCAACCUCGGAAGGUCAUUUGAAACUGGCAAACUAGAGUACUGUAGAGGGGGGUAGAAUUUCAGGUGUAGCGGUGAAAUGCGUAGAGAUCUGAAGGAAUACCAGUGGCGAAGGCGGCCCCCUGGACAGAUACUGACACUCAGAUGCGAAAGCGUGGGGAGCAAACA